GAGAGUGCACCAGAGUGCGCCACGCUCUAUGGUGAAAUAAGAAAACUGAGUCGUAAAUCGACGUGGAGCAGUGGCAGUGUACCUUCUCGGAUGAAAAGUUCAAAAAGGUUUUCCGCCUUAUAACGUUACUACCAACGUCCUUUUAUAAGAGUACCAACCUGUUACCUAUAUCCAUCCGCAAUAGUGAAAACGUGGCUGUGGUAAAGUGAUUGCUUCUCAAAUAGGUUAUGCUACUUGUGGCAAGUACGGCCGUCCUCGUGGGAAUCGUCGGAAGUGUUCGGGAGAGUUCGGAUUUUUUGUAAUGGCGGAACGUAACGACUGCCAAUUGACGUGUGUGCUCAGUCCCUAAUAAUGAGUCGUGUUCCUUUCGGGGAUGCUUACCAAGGACACAAAGAAUUCAAAGAGAAGCAUCUGGCUGAUACGGCGCAUUACCCCGGAUAAAGGGGGUAGUACUCUACCAUAGUGGGAUAAUCUGAACUUAACUCGGCAUACGUUUAUCCCGAUUUUGAAGGUGAGUUUCGACCAUGGUGGAUUCGCCUUGAUGUGACAUUCAAAAUAUACGUCGUCACCCUCCUUAAUGUCCUGGGCGUUAAGGGUGGAUCCUAAUCGCAACGAGACUAUUGGUGGAUCUGAAAGAAAAAAAAAAAAUAUUGGUACUACGAAUUGUUUACUACACUUUGUGUUUGACUUUGUCAACGGAAAUUCUCAUUUGUUAUUGUUGAGACCUGUGUACCUGGGAAACUAUGGUGAAUUAUUAAAGAAUUCUCCACGUCACUUUUCUUCCAGUAAGAUACUGUAAAUACAAGCACCGACGAGUAUUUACAAAUCCUGCUAUUUCUCCAUGACUAACUGGCAGCAGCGGUGGCGACGUCGGUGAGGAAAAAGCAAAACAACUCAAAGUGACAAGCACAACAAUGGCUGCCAGUAGUUUAUCCCGGAUAUAUAUUACGGGACAUAGAUAUUAUCCUCGAAAGUCUUUCUUCUCGACCGGUGGAAAAUAUUAUUCGCUAAGGAAAAUUCUUAUUUCGUUGAGACGACAAGGAAAGUAAUUAAAAUCUGGAGUCGCCGUAAAUCGUAGCAUCGCGUCAUGUAACGGGUGUCUGAGAAACAUUCCAAGGAUCGCACUGCCAAGUUCCAUCACUGGCUUGAGAAGUUGGCCAGUCCUUGGCGACACUCGCUGAUCCUUCAUCAAAUGUGAACUUGCUCCGGAAAGUGACAGGAAGAAAUAUAGCGGGUGUACUUUUUUAAAAAAUUUUUUUACCCUUAGCACCAUUGCAGCGCGGAGCAGUUCACGUGGCGCAGCGCUUUAUUAAGGUUGUCUCACGAAAUUUCAUCAGGACGAUAGCGGCUUAAGGUUUCUCUACUUCUUGUAAUCUACCCCAACCCUCAUGAGGCUUCUUACGUUUCUUCAGUCAGGGAACUGACGGGGGAUGCUACCCGGGGGGGGCGUGGACCCGGAUGACGCCUUUCGUGAACUCUACCAGUAUGUAUCUAGGUGGCUGAGGAGACGGACCAAGGGUACCGAGUUUCAAAGGGGCGUAAUUUCAUGGAUCUACGAGGACGGUCAGCGUAAUUGAAUACGUGCCGUGACGUCAUUUCCCGUACUCCGCACUUUUACAGAGUCCCAACUUCACGUAAACGAUCCUCGGGAUUCGACGGAAGUGACGACCUAAGAGUGUCUUCGACUUUGGAAUAUAAAGUUUUUUAUACCAUAGGUGAACAAUGCUAUAUUUAUAUCUCUAAAAUUAUCGUCGAGAGGAUGUUCCUUACAAAUUGCAUAUCCGGAAUGACUGUCGAUAGAUUUAAAAAAAAAAGGUACCUACCACCCCUAAGGUCCGCACGUAGGAAUUCAAGCCAUUGACAUAUUGAUAGUAAUCGGGGCUAAAAUGGCUUCCGCGCGAACGACACGAUAAAAGGCGAAGCGAAGAAAAAACUCGUUUAAAGUAAAUUUCUUAGGGCAAUACAAGGCCGAGGGUUUUGAAGUCGAGUCGGGGGGACCUUAGGGGGGUAAACUUUACGAGCGAGUAUGAAUGUAAUUUCAUGAUAAAUUUUUGCCGCUCAAUAAAAUCCUGCGGUAUCGUGGCGUCGCGGAAGAAUGACUAAAAAUGGAGGUUAG